GUGGGGAAUCUUCCGCAAUGGACGAAAGUCUGACGGAGCAACGCCACGUGAGUGAAGAAGGUUUUCGGAUCGUAAAGCUCUUUCGUUAGGGACGAACGUGCUCUUUGUGAAUAAUGAGGAGUAAUGACGGUACCUAAAUAAGAAGCCACGGCUAACUACGUGCCAGCAGCCGCGGUAAUACGUAGGUGGCAAGCGUUGUCCGGAAUUAUUGGGCGUAAAGCGCGCGCAGGCGGGAUAUCAAGUCUGUCUUAAAAGUGCGAGGCUCAACCUCGUGAGGGGACAGAAACUGGUAUUCUUGAGUGUCGGAGAGGAAAGUGGAAUUCCAAGUGUAGCGGUGAAAUGCGUAGAGAUUUGGAAGAACACCAGUGGCGAAGGCGACUUUCUGGACGAUGUCUGACGCUGAGGCGCGAAAGCUAGGGGAGCGAACGGGAUUAGAAACCCGAGUAGUCC
rnacentral:rRNA from 1 species